rnacentral:rRNA from 1 species
CACGAGUUGAUCAUGGCUCAGAACGAACGCUGGCGGCAUGCCUAACACAUGCAAGUCGAACGAGACCUUCGGGUCUAGUGGCGCACGGGUGCGUAACGCGUGGGAACCUGCCUUUAGGUUCGGAAUAACUCAGAGAAAUUUGAGCUAAUACCGGAUAAUGUCUUCGGACCAAAGAUUUAUCGCCUUUAGAUGGGCCCGCGUUGGAUUAGCUAGUUGGUGGGUAAAGGCCUACCAAGGCGACGAUCCAUAGCUGGUCUGAGAGGAUGAUCAGCCACACUGGGACUGAGACACGGCCCAGACUCCUACGGGAGGCAGCAGUGGGGAAUAUUGGACAAUGGGCGAAAGCCUGAUCCAGCAAUGCCGCGUGAGUGAUGAAGGCCCUAGGGUUGUAAAGCUCUUUUACCCGAGAUGAUAAUGACAGUAUCGGGAGAAUAAGCUCCGGCUAACUCCGUG